AAUUGAACAAACUGCAAGGUACUGUACCUCAGUAUACACGAGUGAUUAAACAUAAUUAAACAUGCAUGGUUAUAACCUCAUAAACACCAAACAAGUAACAGAAAAGUAGCAAAAAUUAAGUCUAAAAACAACAUUAUAAAUUAAUUAUAACUGACUACUGUCAACAGUUAAGAAAUAAUAUUUUACUUUUGGCUGGGAGAUUAAAUAACUGUGAUGCAUCUGAGCUGCAUUCCUCUACAGAAUGUAGGAGGAGUCUUUACAUGCUUGAAAAGUAGCAUCCAAAUCUCUCCUCAUUAUCUGAACACUGGAACCACCAUGAUGUUUCUGUGCUCUCUGACUGUCUUUAUGAUCAUGAUAGGCAACAGUAGUGCACAGUCAAUAGCACCCCUGGAGAACAAAACACAGGUUCAUGCUUAUGAGGAUGAGACAGUUACUCUCUCCUGCACAUAUGAGUAUGAUGGUGUUGUGCGUAAUCUGCAGUGGUAUCGUGAGUAUCCUGGAUCCAGACCAGAGUAUUUACUGAUGAUCAUUCCAGCAUCAAAAGAUGUGAGCCAUGCAACCCCACAGUUUCCACGACUGAAUGCUGAUGUGGAUGUUAAAAGAGUGGAUCUGAUCAUCUCCUCUGCUGCAGUAUCUGACUCUGCACUCUAC